CGGCUUUUAAUAUUUUGGUUUGAUUUUUCCAUUUUGGUGAAAAAAAUUGUCCAGCCCUAUCUGCUCGCCCCGGGGCCCGGGCAAACACUCCCAGCCUGCCGCUCCCCACAUUCCCGUUCCGCUCACAGCGGAAAAGGAAGCCGGCUAGGGUUUCAUCUUCCUUUCCCCUCCUCUCUUUCAUCGACGACCGCUGGCCACCCCCUCGAUCUCUUGACCCGGAGGCGAGGACGGGGGCCAGCAGCGGCCGCCAGCGCCUGCCCGUCUUGUUAUAGGGAGCGUUCGCCAUGUCUGAAAUGGAGUCUGUCGCGGCUCUUAUGGACUCGACAAGCUCCAAGAUACAACAGCUUCAGGAGGCAUUCGCUGAGCUUGAGAGCCAGAGCGCUUUCUGCAUGAACUUCAAGUGGAAGCAGCUUGAAGACCACUUUCGUGGUCUUGAACAAUCCCUCAAGAAAAAGUUUGACGAGCUAAAAGAGCAGGAGAAGGAGUUCCAGGAGACUGUCGCAAAAUCAGAGCAGAUGCUGGAGCAGCGGGAGGCAGCUGUUGUGGCCAAGGAACUGACCUCUUUGGAGAGGUUGCAGGAGAAGAGGGAAGCUGCAUUAGCUAUGAUCUUUAGCAAGUCCAGGCUUUCCUUACCUGUUCCUUCCAUCAACCCAAUGAACAAGGCACUGGAUAAUCUUGGUGUCAAGUGGCCUAAACCGGCUUCUGAGGAGAGUGUGCACUUGCAAGUUGAUAAUGCUGCAGUGAGGCCUCGUUCUGAGCUUGUUGCACUCUGUGAGGAAAUGAAUGUGAACGGGCUUCAUAAGUUCAUAUCCGACAACAGGAAGAACUUGGCAGCCAUCCGCGAGGAAAUUCCUAGUGCACUGAAGAAAACAUCUCAUCCUUAUGGCCUGGUGUUGGAUUCCCUGGAAGACUUUUAUUCUGGAGAUAAUCUUGUAUUAGAUGGAAAAAAGGAUGGUGACCUUCUGGGUGUUAGAAGGACAUGUUUGAUGUUGAUGGAGUCACUUGGACAACUGCACUCUAAUGAUAUAACUUGUUCUUCUUUGGAGAGGCACAUGCUUACAACUAAUAUCAUAGAGCGAGCAAAGACGAUUGCAUUUAAGUGGAAGUCCAAGUUAGAUAAUCUUGACAUUGAUGCUAGCAAUGGGAACUGUCUUGAAGCUCAUGCGUUUCUUCAACUCCUGGCAACCUUUGGUAUUUCUGCUGAAUUCAAUGAAGAUGACUUGUGCAAAUUGCUUCCAUAUGUCAGUCGUCGUCGUCAGACACCUGAACUUUGUCGAUUGCUUGGGUUGUCGCAGAAAAUGCCAGGUGUCAUUGAAGUUCUGGUGGAAAGUGGAAGACCUAUUGAUGCAAUUAAUUUGGCUUAUGUGUUUGAGCUUACUGAACAAUUUGAACCAGUACACCUUCUUAAAGCAUAUCUAAGGGAUGUUAAGAAAAUGUCACACGCCAGGAAUGUCAAAACUUCUCCUGGAGCACAGAUGAAUCCAUGUUUCUUACUUGGAAACCCCGAACAAACACCACUAGCACGAGGCGCUCGCGUUGGCGUCGCUCACCGACGACGAGAAGAAACUUAGCGACUGCCAGUUCGAACUCUGGAAGCAGUCCUACAUGGCCCAUGCGCCGCUGUGUACGGCAAGCUCCGGCGCAGCCGCCGCUUGGACGUGGUCCAGAGCGGCUGCACCGCGCUGUCCAUCGUCAAACAUGGGGACCUCAUGGUCGUCGCCAAUGUCGACGACUCUCGGGUUGUUCUGGGCAUCGCAACCUACGACGACGCCAUCACGCCGUCUAGCUCAUCAUCCACCUGAAGCCUAACCUGCCACGUAAGUCGCUACUGACCGACCAUGAAUUCUUGUGCGCUGGAAUGAUGACCAUUGUUGUUGUUGUGUGAGUGUCCUCGAACAAGAUGUAUGUAGAGGAGUAGCACAUCCGGUGGUGCAACGACCAGGUGUACUACCUCGCUGAUGAGCCCGGGUGCACUUCAUUUGGCAGUCCAGCCAAGAGUGAUCGGUACUCACCAUAUCGCGCGCGUUCGACGACUAUUAUAUCAAGGAUUGUGGCGUCAUCUCGACACCGGAGAAUGAGAUGAAUGAACGUGAGUUAUCUGCGCUGAAAUCUGUCAUUAAGUGCAUUGAAGAGCACAAACUUGAGCAGCAGUACCCUGUGGAUCCACUUCAGAAAAGGGUUUUGCAGCUAGAGAAAGCAAAGGCAGACAAGAGGAUGGCUGUUGAAGCAGCAAAGCCGCAGUCCAAGAGGCCUCGUGCCAAUGGAUCGGCCUUUGCAACCCGUGCUACAGGCUUUGCUGACAAGAGCUUCUACUCAGCAACCCCAGAGAGGCAUCCAUUCAAUCCUUGCGAGAGGCAGUUUGUGUAUGGCGCUGAGGUUCAUCUUCCUCCCAUGAUGACCUCAGCGUCUUACACGAUGCAACCUGCCCAUGGACCUUAUUACGGUAAUGGCUACCCAGUUCAGUACCAGGUCUCGUAUAUCCACUAAUGGAGACAGCCAGGUGCAGGUGCUCUUUCCUAACAAUCUAGCUUAACCUGCUGCUCUUUGCUGUAGUCGUAUCAGUUACUCUGCAAGUUUCCCUAGCUGGAAAUAUUUGGACCACUCAAUGUGUGUGCUCUGAGUGGCUGUUGUGGUAAUUUUAUGCCCUAAUGACAUGACAUAAAUUACUCCUAAUAUUUAGCUAUCGAUGAAUCUCCCAAUGUACUUCAUUCGGCUUGUGAAAUGCCUGUCACUGAAGAAGCGCCCAGGGGCAUGAAAAUAUCAUGUCGUCAUGGACGCCUGCCAAACUGUCAGUUGCAUCCUGACUGGUUGUUGUUUUUAGUUUGGUGUAUCUUUUAUGCCCAAGUAUAUUUGCUGAGUUAUCAUCUUCAGUUUGCCGAUUCUAAUUGGUUUGUACUC